AAAUUGAAGAGUUUGAUCAUGGCUCAGAUUGAACGCUGGCGGCAGGCCUAACACAUGCAAGUCGAACGGUAGCACAGAGAGCUUGCUCUCGGGUGACGAGUGGCGGACGGGUGAGUAAUGUCUGGGAAACUGCCUGAUGGAGGGGGAUAACUACUGGAAACGGUGGCUAAUACCGCAUAACGUCGCAAGACCAAAGAGGGGGACCUUCGGGCCUCUUGCCAUCAGAUGUGCCCAGAUGGGAUUAGCUUGUUGGUGAGGUAACGGCUCACCAAGGCGACGAUCCCUAGCUGGUCUGAGAGGAUGACCAGCCACACUGGAACUGAGACACGGUCCAGACUCCUACGGGAGGCAGCAGUGGGGAAUAUUGCACAAUGGGCGCAAGCCUGAUGCAGCCAUGCCGCGUGUAUGAAGAAGGCCUUCGGGUUGUAAAGUACUUUCAGCGGGGAGGAAGGUGUUGUGGUUAAUAACCGCAGCAAUUGACGUUACCCGCAGAAGAAGCACCGGCUAACUCCGUGCCAGCAGCCGCGGUAAUACGGAGGGUGCAAGCGUUAAUCGGAAUUACUGGGCGUAAAGCGCACGCAGGCGGUCUGUCAAGUCGGAUGUGAAAUCCCCGGGCUCAACCUGGGAACUGCAUUCGAAACUGGCAGGCUUGAGUCUUGUAGAGGGGGGUAGAAUUC
rnacentral:rRNA from 1 species